CCCUGGCUCAGGACGAACGCUGGCGGCGUGCCUAAUACAUGCAAGUCGAGCGGAGCACUUCGGUGCUUAGCGGCGGACGGGUGAGUAACACGUAGGUAACCUGCCUAUCAGACUGGGAUAACUAUCGGAAACGAUAGCUAAGACCGGAUAACUGGUUUUCUCGCAUGAGAGAAUCAUGAAACACGGAGCAAUCUGUGGCUGAUAGAUGGGCCUGCGGCGCAUUAGCUAGUUGGUAGGGUAACGGCCUACCAAGGCGACGAUGCGUAGCCGACCUGAGAGGGUGAACGGCCACACUGGGACUGAGACACGGCCCAGACUCCUACGGGAGGCAGCAGUAGGGAAUCUUCCGCAAUGGACGCAAGUCUGACGGAGCAACGCCGCGUGAGUGAUGAAGGUUUUCGGAUCGUAAAGCUCUGUUGCCCUAGACGAACAGCAAGGUGAGUAACUGCRCUUUGUGUGACGGUAUAGGAGAAGAAAGCCCCGGCUAACUA
rnacentral:rRNA from 1 species